rfam:Triticum aestivum genome assembly, contig: Triticum_aestivum_CS42_TGACv1_scaffold_459357_5DS
AGUCUAGUGAUGAGGUAUUGAUGCAUGAUGCAACACUUGAUCCAAGGGUGGCUAAACUGUCCAUAUGAUGUCAUCUUUGCAUCUGAAUCCAC